GACUGUGCAGCAGCCAUGUACUAUUCUGACAAGAAAAUAAGCCUUGCAAAACAAAAUUUCAACUCGCUCUUUUUUCUUUUACUGAUCAGUCUGGAUGUAUGUAUGGUGAAAACAGAUACCGAUGCUAUCAUUUAGCAGGAAUCCUUAAUGGCAUUUCCUGAGGCAAACUGUGUCUUAUGUUCUUUUUAUUAAGCAAAGCAACAGAAAAUGGAAAAAAGGGACAAAUAAGAUCAAAUGACUGCUACAAAACAAACAUUGAGAAAUAUUUCUGAAUCUCUCUCUGCCUUCUCAGAAUACAUAUUUUGUCAAGUAGUGCAAGUUAUUUCAAAUUUUCUUGUGAAGACUGAGAACAUCUGGUAAGAAAUAGUGCGACAUAAUGCAAAGAGUGCAUGCUGCUAAGACCUAUCAGUUAAAUGUAAGAUGCCUGCAACUGGAAGAAUCUUGAACUUUCUCUCAUGGUACA